rnacentral:rRNA from 1 species
UGGGGAAUCUUGGACAAUGGGCGCAAGCCUGAUGACGCAACGCCGCGUGGGGGAUGAAGGUCUUCGGAUCGUAAACCCCUGUCGAAUGGGACGAAAGACUCGCGAGUGAAUACUUCGCGAGAGUGACGGUACCGUUAAAGGAAGCCACGGCUAACUCUGUGCCAGCAGCCGCGGUAAUACAGAGGUGGCAAGCGUUGUUCGGAAUUACUGGGCGUAAAGGGCGCGUAGGCGGCCCUCUAAGUCAGACGUGAAAUCCCCGGCUUAACCUGGGAACUGCGUCUGAUACUGGAGGGCUUGAGUAUGGGAGAGGGAUGUAGAAUUCCAGGUGUAGCGGUAAAAUGCGUAGAUAUCUGGAGGAAUACCGGUGGCGAAGGCGGCAUCCUGGACCAUUACUGACGCUGAGGCGCGAAAGCUAGGGGAGCAAACGGGAUUAGAUACCCAAGUAGUCCCUGAGCGGGCUGGCAAGGCGCAU